UCCCUGGAGGACUAGUGGUUAGGCCUCAGUGCUCUCACUACUGCAGCCUGGGUUUGAUUCCUGGCCAGGGAA
rnacentral:tRNA from 1 species